ACGGGCUCAACCCGUUUCAGCAUUCAAAACUGUGGUUCUUGAGUAAUGCAGAGGUAGGCGGAAUUCCCGGUGUAGCGGUGGAAUGCGUAGAUAUCGGGAGGAACCCCCGUGGCGAAGGCGGCCUACUGGGCAUCAACUGACGCUGAGGCUCGAAAGCAUGGGUAGCAAACAGGAUUAGAUACCCUGGUAGUCCAUGCUGUAAACGAUGAUUACUAGGUGUGGGAAGAUUGACCCUUUCCGUGCCGCAGUUAACACAAUAAGUAAUCCACCUGGGGAGUACGACCGCAAGGUUGAAACUCAAAGGAAUUGACGGGGGCCCGCACAAGCAGUGGAGUAUGUGGUUUAAUUCGAAGCAACGCGAAGAACCUUACCAGGUCUUGACAUCCAACGACCGCCUAAGAGAUUAGGCUUUCCUUCGGGACGUUGAGACAGGUGGUGCAUGGUUGUCGUCAGCUCGUGUCGUGAGAUGUUGGGUUAAGUCCCGCAACGAGCGCAACCCUUAUUACUAGUUACUACGCAAGAGGACUCUAGUGAGACUGCCGUUGACAAAACGGAGGAAGGUGGGGAUGACGUCAAAUCAUCAUGCCCUUUAUGACCUGGGCUACACACGUACUACAAUGGCUAUUAACAGAGAGAAGCGAGACCGCAAGGUGGAGCAAACCUCAGAAAAAUAGUCUCAGUCCGGAUUGGGGGCUGCAACCCGCCCCCAUGAAGCCGGAAUUGCUAGUAAUCGCGGAUCAGCAUGCCGCGGUGAAUACGUUCCCGGGCCUUGUACACACCGCCCGUCACACCAUGAGAGCCGGGGGGACCCGAAGUCGGUAGUCUAACCGCAAGGAGGACGCCGCCGAAGGUAAAACUGGUGAUUGGGGUGAAGUCGUAACAAGGUAACCGUAAAGGGCGAAUU
rnacentral:rRNA from 1 species